UUCCCUGUAGCGCAAUUGAUAGUGUGUUGGACUUCUAAUCCAAAGGUCGUGAAUUCAAAUCCCACCUGGGAUCUCCUAA